rnacentral:rRNA from 1 species
CGGCGGACGGGUGAGUAAUGCUUGGGAAUGUACCUUAUGGUGGGGGACAACAGUUGGAAACGACUGCUAAUACCGCAUAAUGUCUUCGGACCAAAGCGGGGGACCUUCGGGCCUCGCGCCAUAAGAUCAGCCCAAGUGGGAUUAGCUAGUUGGUGAGGUAAUGGCUCACCAAGGCGACGAUCCCUAGCUGGUUUGAGAGGAUGAUCAGCCACACUGGGACUGAGACACGGCCCAGACUCCUACGGGAGGCAGCAGUGGGGAAUAUUGCACAAUGGGCGCAAGCCUGAUGCAGCCAUGCCGCGUGUGUGAAGAAGGCCUUCGGGUUGUAAAGCACUUUCAGUAAGGAGGAAAGGUUGGAUGUUAAUAGCAUUCAGCUGUGACGUUACUUACAGAAGAAGCACCGGCUAACUCCGUGCCAGCAGCCGCGGUAAA